rnacentral:rRNA from 1 species
GAUGAACGCUGGCGGCGUGCCUAAUACAUGCAAGUCGAGCGAACAGACGAGAAGCUUGCUCCUCUGAUGUUAGCGGCGGACGGGUGAGUAACACGUGGAUAACCUACCUAUAAGACUGGGAUAACUUCGGGAAACCGGAGCUAAUACCGGAUAAUAUUUUGAACCGCAUGGUUCAAUAGUGAAAGACGGUCUUGCUGUCACUUAUAGAUGGAUCCGCGCUGCAUUAGCUAGUUGGUAAGGUAACGGCUUACCAAGGCAACGAUGCAUAGCCGACCUGAGAGAAUCAUCGGCCAGGCAAGAAUUGAAACACGGACAAGAAGCCUGCGGACGGCUACAGUAGGGAGUUGUGCUAGAUGGGCUAAUGCCUGACGGAGGAUCGGCGCGAGAGGGAUGAAGAUCUUCGGAUCGGUAAACUCUAUUAUUAGAAAAGAACAUAUAAGUAGGUAACUGUUCACAUCGUGACGGAGGCUAAGCAGAGGGACAGGGCUAACUACAUG